rnacentral:rRNA from 1 species
GACGAACGCUGGCGGCGUGCCUAAUACAUGCCAGUUGAGCGCUGAAGGUUGGUACUUGUACCAACUGGAUGAGCAGCGAACGGGUGAGUAACGCGUGGGGAAUCUGCCUUUGAGCGGGGGACAACAUUUGGAAACGAAUGCUAAUACCGCAUAAAAACUUUAAACACAAGUUUUAAGUUUGAAAGAUGCAAUUGCAUCACUCAAAGAUGAUCCCGCGUUGUAUUAGCUAGUUGGUGAGGUAAAGGCUCACCAAGGCGAUGAUACAUAGCCGACCUGAGAGGGGGAUCGGCCACAUUGGGACUGAGACACGGCCCAAACUCCUACGGGAGGCAGCAGUAGGGAAUCUUCGGCAAUGGACGAAAGUCUGACCGAGCAACGCCGCGGGAGGGAAGAAGGGUUUCGGAUCGUAAAACUCUGUUGGUAGAGAAGAACGUUGGUGAGAGUGGAAAGCGCAUCAAGUGACGGUAACUACCCAGAAAGGGACGGCUAACUACGUG